CCAUUUCACCCUCUGGUGCUCAACUUUACACGCUCCGGCGAUAAGUGUACAACAACAAUCUGGGUUAAUAUCCAAAUCAGGAUGGCGUACAAAACUGGACUACCCGUCUCACUGCAUGCCCUCUCUAUCCCAUUUCUCUCUUUAAAUUUUUUUUCUCCAUAAACCCUAACACAACUUCUUCGAUGUCCUUCUAUCAAUUCCUUUACAUCUGCAAACGUCAUUCGUUCAUCCUUUGAUCGAUUCAUUGUUGUUUUAAUAAUAAUGGAAAGAAAAAGAGUCAUCAGUUUAAUACCAAAGGUCAGAAAUUCUCAACCCAAUCUUAAUUCUAUUUGCAUUAAUCUCUUAAAUAAAGUUAAGACCUUUAGAACUGUUGCUGCUGAAAGAACUGACCAUCAAACUCAACCAAGUAACAGUAACUCGUAUGGUUCUGAGGGAGGAGGAGACAUCCAGCAGACUACAGGUGCUGGGUUUCCGAAUAGUAGGUUUUAUCAAACGGAGUUCCACAAGAACCCAAGUUCUUCAUAUUUUCAUAAUAAUUACGGUAGGAGUUUCCAACACAACCCUAGCGGGUAUGAUCCAACGUUACAGAACAUAAAUCCUAAUGGGUUCAAUCCAAAUGAUUUGCAGCAUAAUGCUAAUGUGCUGAAGAGGCCAAGAUCUUCAUAUUUUCAUAAUAGUUACGAUAAUCUCCAGAAUAACCGUAAUGGGUAUCAUUCACAGGCACAGAACAUUAAUCCUAAUAGUAAGCAGAAUGGAAAUGGUCUCGAGGAGAUGGAUGGUUUCUGUAAUGAGGGUAAUGUGAAGGAAGCUAUGGGGGUUCUGAAUUUGUUACAUCAACAAGGUGUUGAGAUUGAUUUGCCUCGGUAUUGUCAGUUGAUGAAAGUUAUUGGGGAAGUUGUUGCUAAUGAAGAGGCAAAUUGAUUCAUAAUCAUCUUAUGAAGACAAAGUUCUCUUUGGAAAUUAAUGUACAGAAUAAGUUACUAGAGAUGUAUUUGAAAUGUGGUUUAGUGUCUGAUGCUUAUGAAUUGUUUCAAAAAUACCUACUCGAAAUCUGACUUCUUGGGAUACCAUGAUAGUUGGUCUGGCAGAAAAUGGAUACGGAGAAGACGCAAUAGAUGUGUUCACUGAAUUAAGGAGGCAGGGGGAAGACCCAACGGCCAAAUGUUUCUUGGGGUUCUUUAUGCUUGUAGUACCCUUUUUGAUGUUAAUGAAGGAUUGCUGCACUUUGAGUCGAUGAGUAAGGCGUUUGGUACUGCACCUUCCAUGGAUCAUUAUGUGGGUGUUGUGAAAAUGUUGGCAUGUUCAGGACACUUGGAUGAGGCUUUUGAGUUCAUUGAAGAUAUGCCAGUUGAACCAAGUAUUGAUGUUUGGGAAACUUUGAUGAAUCUUUGCAGAAUUCAUGGGAAUUUGGAAAUUGGGGACCUUUGUGCUAAUAUCGUUGCUCUCUUAGACCCCUCACAGCUAAAUGUUGAAUCAAAGGCUGGUUUUGUGCCAGUAAACCCCUCUGAUAUGCAAAAUAAGGUUUCAGGUCAGACACCAUUAAGAUUACAAAAUAGGAUUCAACAGUUUAAGGCAGGGGAUACAUCCCACUCUGAUAGUGACAAAGUUUAUGCCCAUCUGAAGACACUGAGUGCACAUAUGAAAGAGUGGUUAUAUACCUGAGCUUAGAUACGCAAUGCAUGAUGUUGAUGAUGAAAGUAAAGCUGAAAUACUUCUCGCACACAGUGAAAUAUUGGCUUGUGUUUCUGGUAUCUUAAGUAGCCCUGCUCGCAGCCAAGUGCGAAUACUCAUGAAUGUUGGAAUGUGUAUGGAUUGCCAUAAUGCAUUGAAGAUUAUCUCUAAAAUUGUUGGAAGGCGAAUCAGCGCUCGUGCAUCCAAGCGGUUUCACCAAAUCGAAGAAGGGGUGUGUUCCUGCAACGACUUUUACUAAAGCGUCAGUAAGGGUUUUGAAGAAUGUGUUGUGAUAUAGGAUGUAAGCUGAACCUUACUGCUGAAGCAUAAUAAUCCAGAAGGCUUUCCCCAAUAUGUUGUUAUUUGAGACUCUCUUUCUCUUCCAUACAAGUUUUGGAAGGAGAAAGUUUGUCAGAGAGUAUCCUGGUGUCAGUAUGAAUCUGAAGUAAGAAUCAGGAACUUGAUAAUGUAAUAGGAAUCCACUGCCUUCAUUAAGAUUCUGAGAAGCACAUCAAAGUAUGAGAAUUCUAAUUGAUGAAAAGUUCGAAACUUAAAUGAUUUAUUGACUUUGCGGAGUCUAUGCAUGAAGUUGCAGUUUCCAUUCACCUUGUCAACUGCUGAUCCAUUUCACCUGAAACUGUCACAACGGCAAACAAUAGGCGUGCUAUGUGAGUUGUCCUUCCAUAAGACUCAUCAUUUCAGGAAUCCAUACAAUGAGAGUGAAGGUAUGUGACCAAGUAAUCUUUUGCCUUUUCUCUCUUUUUUUCCCCUGGCGAGGAAUGUACCCCUAUGCUACUGGGCCUCAAAUUAGGGAGUCUGUCUUUCUUUAUGGUUUAUUCAAAUGUUUCUUACCAUUUAACGAGUGCUUACCUCAGAAGUUCCUAGCAUUUUCCUGGAAAUCGUGGUUGUUAUCUCUGGGAGGAAAUUCUUAGGUACAAUGGAGGUUAGCCUUAUCAUGGGUUAGGCUUCCUGGUCGAAGUCUUGGUAUUGACUGAAAAUCUGUACUUUCUCAUGAUGCUCACAGAUGUCGUGAUCAGUCUGAACAGUCUUGGAUUUUUGAUUUGUUUCUCCUGCAAGCUUUUUCUUCUUUUCACACAUGUUAUACCAGUGCUAUUGAAGCCUAUGUUUACACAUCAACAAAGUGAUUUUUAUCACAUUUAUUAUGAUGUUAUGCUUGCGCCUCUAACUCUCCACACUCAAACUGUUAAAUUGUUUCUUGCUUGGGUACACCGUACACUUCAGAUUAGUUGAGACUGCCGGGAGCUGGAGCCUUCUAGCAGUGAGCAGCUAGCGUCCUUGCUUUAUCUUGAACCAGAUAGUGAAUUAGUGGUAUAUUAUGUACUUUCAGCUUAUGUUUUUUUUUCUUCCUAUUUGGUUUUUAAAAGUAACUCUUUUACCUCGACGCUGUCUGAAUAGCUGUCUGAAUAUAAUGUAGACCCCUUAUAUAUCUUGGAAGGGAGUAUCCUGCAAAGUCUAUUUUGCUUUGCACUAUGAAAAUAUUUUAGACGUGCUAAAUGGGUCCUCAUGGUUUUUCUUAUGAGGGUGUCACACCCGUUGGUUCCCAGUGCCAGACGGCAGACAUGUUCUAUGUAGCUCUCCAUAUGUUUCCUCCAUUUUAUCCAAUCCUAUGGAUGUGUAGGGACCCACAUCAGGCAUGGAUUUACAGGGCAGCCCUUCCUGGUGGUGGUCUUUGGAUGAUGAUGGGGCCUGGAGGGGACCUUUCACGGAAGGAAUGGGCAUAUUGUCACCAGCACCAGGCGCGCAGGUUCUGAGGAGCGUUCAAAGGUGACCAGGUAGUGAUAGAUAUAGUGCAGGUUCAGAUCAAAGUAAGGUACAGGAAAUGGCUGGCGGUGGACCAAAUGACGAGUCCAAGUAUCAGCAAGGCAGACCCCAAAGUAAAGACUCAUUUGGCGGUGUCGUCGAAGGUGGAAACAGCUUUAGAAAUGUGACAGCGAGAGUGAGAGCGAGGUACCGAGACGAUCAAGGCGUGGAGAGGGGAAGCAACGGCAGGGGAAAAAGUACUAAUCCUUGUGAAAAAGAAAUGUGAUGCAAAUCGGAUGAGUGUAUUAUAUUUCCUUCAAGCUAAUCCUUGUGAGAGUGAUCGGAUGAAUCUCAGUCAACGUCAAUGGUACACCGUAUGGAUUCAUUACUCCUACCAGAGGCUUAAGACAAGGUGAUCCCAUAUCUUUCUACAUUUUCAUCGUCUGUGCGGAAAUACUUUCAACAAAUCUUGCCAAACUAGAAGCAAAUAAUCUGAUUCAAGGUAUCCGAAUAUCAAAAAAGACACCUCCCAUCCUACACUUAAUGUAUGCAGAUGAUUUGCUCAUCACAUACAUAGCUAUCCAAGAAAGUAGUAAUCACCUUCAAAGAAUUCUUCUAUCAUAUGGCUCUUCAGCGGGUCAAAUUAUCAACGCAGCAAAAUCAACCAUUAUUCACUGCCCAAGACUCCAACAACAUCACAUAGAUAACCUUCACCAAUUCUUCGACAUGUCGACUACAUCAAUCCCACCUGUAUACUUAGGACCUCUAGUCGCAUCUUUGAACCGUUACUACAGAGAUUGGCACGCAAAGCACAAGGAUGGAUCACAAAAUGCCUUACCCCUGCAGGAAGACUAGUUCUAAUUAAAACCUCCUUAACACCAACCUCAAAUCACCUCAUGCAAACACAGAUUUUCCCCACCCAUGUUCACAAACAAAUUGAUCGGAUCACCAGGAAUUUUUUAUGGGGUCACGAUUCUUCAGUCCGAAAGCUUCACCCAUUAGGAUGGAACAAGCUAAACAAGCCAAUAGCGGAGGGAGGGCUAGGUAUUAGGAAGAGUGGCCAUCACAAUAAAGCUCUUUUCAUGAAAAAAAUUUGGAAUAUUCAAGACCAACCACAUUCCAUUUGCUCGAGCUUCUUCAACGAGAAAUACCUCAACCAUCAACCGAUAUUGCAAGGUACGAUAUCAAUACCCACUACUGCCAGCCCACAAUGGAAAUAAAUGGCAUCUAUCAUACCUACUGUAAAAAAUCAUAUAUUUCACCAAAUAGAAAAUGGUUUGGAUACCCCUAUCCAAGCAAAUUGGAUACCCCACUUUCAAAACCUUGAUCCAACCCAAUGCGACCCUAUCCAAUAUGUCGCAGACU